UACGUAGGGCGCAAGCGUUGUCCGGAAUUAUUGGGCGUAAAGAGCUCGUAGGCGGUCUGUUACGUCCGCUGUGAAAACCCAGGGCUUAACCCUGGGCUUGCAGUGGAUACGGGCAGACUAGAGGCAGGUAGGGGAGAAUGGAAUUCCCGGUGUAGCGGUGAAAUGCGCAGAUAUCAGGAGGAACACCGAAGGCGAAGGCAGUCUCCUGGCAAGUUACUGACGCUCAGGUGCGAAAGCUAGGGGAGCGAACAGG
rnacentral:rRNA from 1 species